ACUUCCAAAAAAAUAAGUAGGUCAGACGAUUCCAUUAUAAUGUUGCCAAGGGGGUACAGUACCACGGCACACCAAACAAUAGGCUGCUUCCGGUCGUGUCUUAUUGACGUGAAU